rnacentral:tRNA from 1 species
GCCCGGCUAGCUCAGUCGGUAGAGCAUGAAACUCUUAAUCUCAGGGUCGUAGGUUCGAACCACACGUUGGGCG